AACGAACGUUGGCGGCGUGGAUUAGGCAUGCAAGUCGAACGCGAAUCCCUGGGCAACUGGGGAGGAGAGUGGCGAAAGGGGCAGUAAGGCGUGGGUAACCUACCCUCCGGGCCGGGAUAGCUUCGGGAAACUGAAGGUAAUACCGGGCGACGCAGCGAGAUCGCAUGGUCUUGCUGCCAAAGGUCCGCCGCCGGGGGAGGGGCUCACGUGGUAUUAGCUAGACGGCGGGGUAACGGCCCACCGUGGCAAAGAUGCCUAGCAGGUGUGAGAGCACGACCUGCGCCACUGGCACUGAGACACUGGCCAGACACCUACGGGUGGCUGCAGUCGAGGAUCUUCGGCAAUGGGCGCAAGCCUGACCGAGCGACGCCGCGUGUGCGAUGAAGGCCUUCGGGUUGUAAAGCACUGUCGUGGGGGAGGAUGCCGCAAGGUUGACCUAUCCCUGGAGGAAGCACGGGCUAAGUUCGUG
rnacentral:rRNA from 1 species